rnacentral:rRNA from 1 species
UGGGGAAUAUUGCACAAUGGGCGCAAGCCUGAUGCAGCCAUGCCGCGUGUAUGAAGAAGGCCUUCGGGUUGUAAAGUACUUUCAGCGAGGAGGAAGGUGUUGUGGUUAAUAACCGCAGCAAUUGACGUUACUCGCAGAAGAAGCACCGGCUAACUCCGUGCCAGCAGCCGCGGUAAUACGGAGGGUGCAAGCGUUAAUCGGAAUUACUGGGCGUAAAGCGCACGCAGGCGGUCUGUCAAGUCGGAUGUGAAAUCCCCCGGGCUCAACCUGGGAACUGCAUCCGAAACUGGCAGGCUAGAGUCUUGUAGA